GAUGAAGAACGUAGCGAAAUGCGAUACUUGGUGUGAAUUGCAGAAUCCCGUGAACCAUCGAGUCUUUGAACGCAAGUUGCGCCCGAAGCCAUUAGGCCGAGGGCACGCCUGCCUGGGCGUCACACGUCGUUGCCCCCCCCAUCUACUCCUUCGGGAUUGCGGGGGGCGGAUGAUGGCCUCCCGUGCGCCUCGCCGCGCGGUUGGCAUAAAUGCCAAGUCCUCGGCGACGCACGCCACGACAAUCGGUGGUUGCGAAACCUCGGUUGCCCGUCGUGUGCGGUCGUCGCGCAUCGAGGGCUCGAAAAAAUUGCCGAGUUCCGGCUCGACUUUCAACGCGACCCCAGGUCAGGCGGGGUUACCCGCUGAAUUUAAGCAUAUCAAUAAGCGGAGGA
rnacentral:misc_RNA from 1 species